UAAAGGAUUACCGCGGUAAGUUACACUAGCGGUACAAACGGUGCGUAAGCCACGAGGAGGGUGCACUGUCAGCACCGCCGCACGUGACCUAUGAGGACUGACAGAUACUCUGCGAUAGGUUUUCGUCUGAUUCUUUUCAGAAGAGGAGCAAAAUAAAUUCUGACAACAGGGAAAAGUUAGAAGUGAACCACGUAGCUGGUUCAAAGUCAUUUGUACGACUUUGUCAUGACAUGCGAGAUUUCGUCACUGGCUAGGAGCCCGGACCAGUAGACUUCUACAAAGGGACUCAUUGUCGGCAGACGACGGGAUCUUGGGUACAUCCUAGAGCAGCAAGAUUUGGGUAAAAAUCCUUACAUUAUAAAAUUUAAUUGUGUUAAAUUAUAAUACUGUCAUUUAUUAUGAAAAUUCAUAUGUUUUCAUUACAGGAGGAGAUUGACACCUUUCACAGUCAGCCCACUCCCGAUGGUACUCAGCAGAGUGAGUUAGAGAUCCUGAGUCAGGUACUUGGCACCUGUUCUGGAUAUGUGUGUGGGCUUGGCCAUGAUGCCAAGCUCAUGGCACCUGCUAGAGCUACCUUCAGCCGAUCCAUCGUCGUUGACGACAGCGCCGUACGCCGAGCUGAUAUCGCAGAGAGAGAGAGAGGUUCAGCAGUUACGGGUCGUCGUCCAUGACAUUAGAGAGCAGCUGGACAGGCAGAGGGAGGAGCAGGAGAGGAAGAUGAUGGAGGAGUUGGCGAGGUAGAGGGAGGAGCAGGAGAGGAGGAUGAAGGAGAUGCGGGUGGAGCAUGAGCGACGGAUGACAGAGAUGUUUCAGGCUCUUGCUGCACGCUUACCCACCGAUGCUACACCACCUCCGCCUUUAUCUUUGUGAUUUUUUGUAUUUUUAUUUAUAAUGUCAAACUUAUAUGUAUUUAUGCGUGAAUGAAUGUGAUGUGGAUAAGAUUGUUUGUGUUUGGAUGAAUGUAGUUUAUGUUUGGAUGGAUUUACUAGUUUGGGUUUAGAUGGAUGUGAA